ACGAACCGUGCGAACGUUGUUCGGAUUCACUGGGCUUAAAGGGCGCGUAGGCGGGUGGUCAAGUCAGGGGUGAAAUCUUUCGGCUCAACCGGAAAAGUGCCUUUGAUACUGGCCAUCUCGAGGGAGGUAGGGGCAUGUGGAACUUCCGGUGGAGCGGUGAAAUGCGUAGAUAUCGGAAGGAACGCCGGUGGCGAAAGCGACGUGCUGGACCUUUUCUGACGCUGAGGCGCGAAAGCCAGGGGAGCAAACGGGAUUAGAUACCCCGGUAGUCCUGGCCCUAAACGAUGGGUACUGGAUUGUGGACUUAACAUGGGUUCACAGUCGCAGCAAAAGUGUUAAGUACCCCGCCUGGGGAGUAUGGUCGCAAGGCUG
rnacentral:rRNA from 1 species